rnacentral:rRNA from 1 species
GGGAGCCUGAGAAACGGCUACCACAUCCAAGGAUGGCAGCAGGCGCGCAAAUUACCCAAUCCCGACACGGGGAGGUAGUGACAAUAAAUAACAAUACGGGGUUCUUUUGGAUCUCGUAAUUGGAAUGAGUACAAUUUAAAUCUCUUAACAAGGAACGAUUGGAGGGCAAGUCUGGUGCCAGCAGCCGCGGUAAUUCCAGCUCCAAUAGCGUAUANNNAAGUUGCUGCAGUUAAAAAGCUCGUAGUUGAAUUUCGGGGUUAGUAGGUUGGUCAUGCCUCCGGUAUGUACUGAUCUCACUGAUUCCUCCUUCCUUAUGAACCGUAAUGCCAUUAAUUUGGUGUUGCGGGGAAUUUGGACUGUUACUUUGAAAAAAUUAGAGUGUUUAAAGCAGGCAUUUUGCUUGAAUACAUUAGCAUGGAAUAAUAAAAUAGGACGGCAUGAUUCUAUUUUGUUGGUUUCUAGGAUCACCGUAAUGAUUAAUAGGGAUAGUUGGGGGCAUUAGUAUUCAAUUGUCAGAGGUGAAAUUCUUGGAUUUAUUGAAGACUAACUACUGCGAAAGCAUUUGCCAAGGAUGUUUUCAUUAAUCAAGAACGAAAGUUAGGGGAUCGAAGACGAUCAGAUACCGUCGUAGUCUUAACCAUAAACUAUGCCGACUAGGAAUCAGACGAUGUUAAUUUUUUAAUGACUCGUUUGGCACCUUACGGGAA